rnacentral:rRNA from 1 species
GAUGAACGCUGGCGGCGUGCCUAAUACAUGCAAGUCGAGCGAACAGACUAGGAUCUUGCUCCUCUGCCGUUAGCUACGGCCUGGUGAGUAACACGUUGAUUACCUACCUCUCAGACUGAGUUAACUUCGUACCACCGACGCCCAUACCGGAUAAUAUAUUCAACCGCAUGGUUCAAUAGUGACAGACGGUUUUGCUGUCACUUUUACAUGGAUCCGCGCCGCAUUAGCUAGUUGGUAAGGUAACGGCUUACCAAGGCAGCGAUGCGUAGCCGACCUGAGAGGGUGGUCGGCCAGACUGGAACUGAGACAGGGUACAGACUCCGGAGGGAGGCAGCAGUAGGGAAUCUUCCGCAAUGGGCGAAUGCCUGACGGAGGAACGCCGGGGGAGGGAUGAAGGUCUUCGGAUCGGAAAACUCUGUUAGUAGGGAAGAACAAAUGUGUAAGUAACUAUGCACGUCUUGACGGUACCGAAGCAGAAAGCCACGGCUAACUACGUG